GCGGCGGACGGGUUAGUAACGCGUGGGAACAUACCCCUUUCUACGGAAUAGCCUCGGGAAACUGAGAGUAAUACCGUAUAAGCCCUUCGGGGGAAAGAUUUAUCGGGAAGGGAUUGGCCCGCGUUAGAUUAGAUAGUUGGUGGGGUAAUGGCCUACCAAGUCUACGAUCUAUAGCUGGUUUUAGAGGAUGAUCAGCAACACUGGGACUGAGACACGGCCCAGACUCCUACGGGAGGCAGCAGUGGGGAAUCUUAGACAAUGGGCGCAAGCCUGAUCUAGCCAUGCCGCGUGUGUGAUGAAGGUCUUAGGAUCGUAAAGCACUUUCGCCAGGGAUGAUAAUGACAGUACCUGGUAAAGAAACCCCGGCUAACUCCGUGCCAGCAGCCGCGGUAAUACGGAGGGGGUUAGCGUUGUUCGGAAUUACUGGGCGUAAAGCGUACGUAGGCGGAUCAGAAAGUUAGGGGUGAAAUCCCGAGGCUCAACCUCGGAACUGCCUCUAAAACUCCUGGUCUUGAGUUCGAGAGAGGUGAGUGGAAUUCCAAGUGUAGAGGUGAAAU
rnacentral:rRNA from 1 species